AUUGAACGCUGGCGGCAUGCCUUACACAUGCAAGUCGAACGGCAGCACGGGAGCUUGCUCCUGGUGGCGAGUGGCGAACGGGUGAGUAAUACAUCGGAACGUACCCAGUAGUGGGGGAUAACGCACCGAAAGGUGCGCUAAUACCGCAUACGACCUAAGGGGGAAAGCGGGGGACCGCAAGGCCUCGCGCUAUUGGAGCGGCCGAUGUCUGAUUAGCUAGUUGGCGGGGUAAAGGCCCACCAAGGCGACGAUCAGUAGCUGGUCUUAGAGGACGAUCAGCCACACUGGGACUGAGACACGGCCCAGACUCCUACGGGAGGCAGCAGUGGGGAAUUUUGGACAAUGGGGGCAACCCUGAUCCAGCAAUGCCGCGUGUGCGAAGAAGGCCUUCGGGUUGUAAAGCACUUUUGUCAGGGAAGAAAUCUUUCGGGCUAAUACCCUUGGAAGGAUGACGGUACCUGAAGAAUAAGCACCGGCUAACUACGUGCCAGCCGCCGCCGUAA
rnacentral:rRNA from 1 species